rnacentral:rRNA from 1 species
CGCGUAGGCGGGUUCUCCAGUCAGGGGUGAAAUCGUUCGGCUCAACCGGACAAGUGCCCCUGAUACUGAGAGUCUCGAGGGAGGUAGGGGCAUGUGGAACUUCCGGUGGAGCGGUGAAAUGCGUAGAUAUCGGAAGGAACGCCGGUGGCGAAAGCGACGUGCUGGACCUCUUCUGACGCUGAGGCGCGAAAGCCAGGGGAGCAAACG